UUUAUUUAUUCUACCACCCUUCUGCAACUUCCUUUCUAGCAAGUGCUGACAAGUUCAUCUCCAUUCAUUUAGUGUUUUCUACUUCUAAGGCUUUUCUUGAAACGAAGCAGCAUGAGUCAUUUUACCAAGUACUGUUAAAUGUAUGAAAGCCUGUUAUUUGUCCACAGUAGAAGGCAAAUGGAACCACAGCAUCCAAAUUCUGACAUUUUGAUGACGUAGUCAGGGUAUGCUGAAAAACAGAGUGUGUCAAAACACUGCUAAGUGCGUAUCAGGAAGGUAUUUUGAAACAGGAUCUUCAAGUGUGAGAUGACAGAAAUAAAAUUACAUCCCUGAUUCUAUGCUAAUGUGAAGAAAAAGAUUGUUUCCUGGAGAAAGGAAGAGUUCAGUAUUCACUGCAAACUGCAGUUGCAGCCUUUAAGGAGAGUGAGUAAUGGAAAUAGAAAGAGGAAGGUAGGAUCUAGGGUUUGAAUGAGGGGGAAGCACAGUAUUCAAGAUUUUGCAUAUCUGUGCUUCCUGCUCGUGUGCUGUUUUUAGGAUUUGUGUUACUUUUAGUCUUUACUCACGUUUUGGUUAAAGCCCUGUGAAGUGACAGUAAAGUGAUAGUGAAUAUUGAGCUGUAGGAAGAGGAGGAAGCCUGUUCUCAUCUUUUACUGUCUCCUUGGAGAGCUUUCCUUGUCUGACAUGUUCCUUGAUGGUUAUGUUGUAUUUUAGAUCCAAGAUUCUGUCUUCAAAGGAAAAAAAAAAAAAGAAGAGUGGGGUUUUUUUGUGGCUAAGUUUUACCCGAGAAACUUCUGUUACAGGAAUCUGUUUGCACAGGAAAGAUGAAUGCAUUUCCAAGGGAGCUUCUGUGCAGUUAAUCUAUCUGGAGAUCAAUAUUGGAAUAUUCAGUGUGCUGUAUUAAGAAUCAUAUAAAAAUCUUGAUUAAAUGCUGCUCUUCCACCCAUCAGCUUUAUUGAAAGACAUUCAGAAGCUCUUGAACAGCUUAAUCUAUGUUCGUCCUGGCUACAAAGGCUGAUGUAUUGCAGACCACAGUACUUGGGAAGUGAGUGUGAGAUGCCAAAGGACAUUAGCAGGAUUCUGUAGCACUCUUGUUUGUCUGCUUUUAAAAUUUGCUUUUAAAAAUGAGU